rnacentral:rRNA from 1 species
UACGUAGGGGGCAAGCGUUGUCCGGAUUUAUUGGGCGUAAAGAGCGUGUAGGCGGCCUGAAAGGUCAGCUGUGAAAACUCGAGGCUCAACCUCGAGACGUCGGUUGAAACCAUCUGGCUAGAGUCCGGAAGAGGAGUGUGGAAUUCCCGGUGUAGCGGUGAAAUGCGCAGAUAUCGGGAAGAACACCCGUGGCUAAGGCGGCUCUCUAGUACGGUACUGACGCUGAGACGCGAAAGCGUGGGGAGCAAACAGG